UUACGGCUGUAUCACGUCGAAACACCAGUUUUCACUACGAUCACUGAAGUUAAGCUAUGUCGAACUUGGUCAGUAGUUAGAUGACUAACCUCUUGCGAACACCAGGUGCCGUAA